ensembl:snRNA U1 U1 spliceosomal RNA
CUACUUCCCUUGCAGGAGAAAUACCGUGAUCCUGAAGGUUGUGUCCCCAGGACAAGGCUUACCUACUGCACUCUGGAAGUGCUGACCUCUCCAUUCCCCCAAAUUCAGGAAACCUGCCUCCGUAUUUUGUGAUAGUGGGGCACUAA